GACGAACGCUGGCGGCGUGCUUAACACAUGCAAGUCGAACGAAGUGGCGAACGGGUGAGUAACGCGUAAUCAACCUGCCCUUCAGAGGGGGACAACAGCUGGAAACGACUGCUAAUAUCGCAUACUGACGGUGGGGAUUGCGUCUGAUGAGCUAGUUGGAGGGGUAACGGCCAACAAAGGCGAGGCACAGUAGCCGGUCUGAGAGGAUGAACGGCCAACUGGGGACUGAGACACGGCCCAGACUUCUACGGGAGGCAGCAGUGGGGAAUCUUCCGCAAUGGACGAAAGUCUGACGCGGCAACGCCGCGUGAGUGAUGACGGCCUUCGGGUUGUAAAGCUCUGUUGAUCGGGACGCGGUACCGGAAUAGAAAGCCACGGCUAACUACGUGCCAGCAGCCGCGGUAAUUC
rnacentral:rRNA from 1 species